rnacentral:lncRNA from 1 species
UGAUUUCUUCCUUCCUCUGGAAGCUCUUCAUCACAAAAACUCAGAUUGUUACAAGAAGUAAUGUUAGCCACAAUGUGAUAAAACUUAUCUACAGUAACGUCGUGCUCAACGCAGGCUUCUUCUAACACUCUUUACAAUGCUUCUCUGUGCGCUUCAGAAUUCAUCAACAGAGACAACACCAAAAUCAUCGACGGAGUUUGGAGCAGCUGCUCCACCAUAUUAAACUUUCUCUUCUUGAUCAGACAUAGC